rnacentral:rRNA from 1 species
GACGAACGCUGGCGGCGUGCUUAACACAUGCAAGUCGAACGAAGUGGCGCACGGGUGAGUAACGCGUAAUCAACCUGCCCUUCAGAGGGGGACAACAGUUGGAAACGACUGCUAAUACCGCAUACUGUCGGUUGGGAUUGCGUCUGCUUACCUCGUUGGAGGGGUAACGGCCCACCAGGGCGAUGAUCAGUAGCCGGUCGGAGAGGAUGAACGGCCAAAUUGGGACUGAGACACGGCCCAGACUCCUACGGGAGGCAGCAGUGGGGAAUUUUCCGCAAUGGACGAAAGUCUUACGGAGCAACGCCGCGUGAGUGAUAACGGCCUGCGGGGUGGAAAGCUCUGUUAAUCGGGACGCGGUACCGGAAUAGAAAGCCACGGCUAACUACGUGCCAGCAGCCGCGGUAAUAC